CAAUAAAAGAGCUGGUCGUAGAUCAUCGAUUCCUAAAUGGUCUACAGACGUUUAAUAUCGAUGACAUUAACGUGACCAUUGGGGACCUUUUCCCAAGCUUGACACAAUUGACUUUUACCACUCUUCAGACUGUCUUACCGGGAGAUGUUGAACAGUUGGCACAUGCAAGCUUAGCUGUGUUGUCUAUUGAGCAUGGUAAGAAAGGGAAAGAUCUAGUUCCUCUCAUUGGAGAACCUACUUCACUGGGGCAACUUUUCUCCAGUUCAUUCCCACGACUCACCUAUCUGACCUUCCGAGAGCUAGUAAUGGGCAACAUACGCAGUGAAGCAAUACUUCGUAAUCUAAAGAACCACCUCCAUUUGAAAUCAAUAAGUAUCAUCAGUUGUUAUACGGAUGAAGAAUUGGACCCCCUGGCUGAAGAAAUAACUACCGAGAACAGGAUGAAAAUUACACUUCAACAUGACAUGGAACAAAAGAGCACAGUUAUGACAUUUGGUGAUCAGGUCGCAUCAUCACAAGAGAGCAUAGUAUGUGGUACUCAGGUUACUACAAGGAUACUCACAUUUGGACCAUUAACAGUAGAUAUGGUGGAUGCACUUUGCCAUCGAACAUGUGUCGGUUAUUUGGAAGUACUCGAAUCAGGCAUAAAUAUUGCAAGUGACAAACGUUUUCCAGACCUUCAUGGCAGAGAGGUGGAUUCA